rnacentral:rRNA from 1 species
AUUGAACGCUGGCGGCAGGCUUAACACAUGCAAGUCGAGCGGGGUGAUGGUGCUUGCACUAUCACUUAGCGGCGGACGGGUGAGUAAUGCUUAGGAAUCUGCCUAUUAGUGGGGGACAACAUCUCGAAAGGGAUGCUAAUACCGCAUACGUCCUACGGGAGAGAGCAGGGGAUCACUUGUGACCUUGCGCUAAUAGAUGAGCCUAAGUCGGAUUAGCUAGUUGGUGGGGUAAAGGCCUACCAAGGCGACGAUCUGUAGCGGGUCUGAGAGGAUGAUCCGCCACACUGGGACUGAGACCAGACCCAGACUCCUACGGGAGGCAGCAGUGGGGAAUAUUGGACAAUGGGGGGAACCCUGAUCCAGCCAUGCCGCGUGUGUGAAGAAGGCCUUAUGGUUGUAAAGCACUUUAAGCGAGGAGGAGGCUCUUUUGGUUAAUACCCAAGAUGAGUGGACGUUACUCGCAGAAUAAGCACCGGCUAACUCUGUGCCAGCCGCCGCGGUAA